AUGAGAUCCAUCUCGAUGGCGGGCAAAGAAAUCGAGGCUGUGGGGCAGAUGAAGAUCACCACGAAGCAAUUGGAGACCUUCACGCUCCAACGAGGGGAGGACCAGGUGCUCCUCGACGGGCUGGUGCAGCGCUUGACGACACUCGAGCAACGGCUGCCGGCCCUGCCCCCACCUUCAGAUAACAUGACUGCAACAGCUGCCCAUGACGCCACCUCUGGGCCCCCGGCCCUCCACCCUAGCGACCUGGUGCUUCCCCUCGCCAGCAGCACCUCCGGUGCCCCCUUCUCCAGCGUGGCCAUCGCCGCCGCCGCCUCUACCGCCUUCAUGCCUCCACCUGCCAACCGAUUUCGUGACGUUAUGGCUGCACCCCCCUCCACAACCCAUCUAUGGACCCACCUCGCCCAUCACCUCCCUUCUGCCCCUACUUAA
rnacentral:rRNA from 1 species